UGUGGGGCAAAGAGGGGUGGAGGGGGGAACUUGUGGGGCUGAGAAGGGGACGCUUGUGGGGCCGCCCCCCAAGUCCUGCCCCACAACCGCAGGCGCUUGGCAGCGUUUUGCUGCCCCUUGGCUUCUGGAUGCUGCUGGAUGGGGAAGGCCUGGCUGUGCUGCUGGGACACCCGGUGCUGGCGCUGCAGCCCUGCUCCUACGUGUGCUGCGCCGCAGGGGCUCUGAGCGCUGCCAUGGGGGCCCUGGGGGGGCUGGGGGCCCUCCGGGGGGCGCGGGCACCGCUGGGGGUGUUCGCGGUGCUGCUGCUGCUGCUGCUGCUGGCGCAGGUGGUGCUGGGGGUGAUGGCCUACACACAGCGCAGCGCCCUGUGGUGGCGGCUGGGCUCCCAGGCGCAGCAGCAGAUCCGCGGUUACCCCACGGCGGGGGGGGCAGCGAGCGCCGCACAGCGCGGGUGGGACGCCCUGCAGCUCCAGGUCUGCUCUGCCCCACUGCUGCCCCAUAGCUGCCCCAUAGCUGCUCCAUAGAUACCACAUAGCUGCCCCACAGCUGCCCCAUAACUGCCCCAUAGCUGCCCCAUAGGUGCCACAUAGCUGCCCCAUAGCUGCCCCAUAACUGCCCCAUAGAUACCACA
rnacentral:lncRNA from 1 species